rnacentral:rRNA from 1 species
GAUCCUGGCUCAGGACGAACGCUGGCGGCGUGCUUAACACAUGCAAGUCGAACGGGAAGAAAAGAAAGAGCUUGCUCUUUUUUGGAUUCUAGUGGCAAACGGGUGAGUAACACGUAAACAACCUGCCUUCAGGAUGGGGACAACAGACGGAAACGACUGCUAAUACCGAAUACCUUCCAAUUUCCGCAUGGAGAUAGGAAGAAAGGGUGGCCUCUACUUGUAAGCUAUCGCCUGAAGAGGGGUUUGCGUCUGAUUAG